GGCGAACGCUGGCGGCGUGCCUAAUACAUGCAAGUCGAGCGAAGUUUUUCUGGUGCUUGCACCGGAAAAACUUAGCGGCGAACGGGUGAGUAACACGUAAAGAACCUGCCUCAUAGACUGGGACAACUAUUGGAAACGAUAGCUAAUACCGGAUAAUAGCAUUAACUGCAUGGUUGAUGUUUAAAAGUUGGUUUUGCUAACACUAUGAGAUGGCUUUGCGGUGCAUUAGCUAGUUGGUGGGGUAAAGGCCUACCAAGGCGACGAUGCAUAGCCGACCUGAGAGGGUGAUCGGCCACACUGGGACUGAGACACGGCCCAGACUCCUACGGGAGGCAGCAGUAGGGAAUCUUCCGCAAUGGGCGAAAGCCUGACGGAGCAACGCCGCGUGAGUGAAGAAGGAUUUCGGUUCGUAAAGCUCUGUUGUUAGGGAAGAAGGAUUGUGUAGUAACUAUACACAGUAGAGACGGUACCUAACCAGAAAGCCACGGCUAACUACGUG
rnacentral:rRNA from 1 species